UCUAUGAGCGGGUACCCAAUAUCAAGGACGUCGUCUUCCCCUUGGUUCUCCGAUACUCUCCUUCUCUGCUUUAAGGAUUGCACCUAAAGACUCAAAAGGACUCUGAAUGAAGCAUAAGAUAACCUCUCCCUGAACUGUAGUUCAUAUCAAGACCCCAGCCCGAGCAACUUUGUAAGUGUGUUUUUAAAUACUGAACUCUUUGCCAAUAUGAUUGUUAAUGAUUCAAAAAACUAAAUUUCUUUAUUGAGACCUGGAGCAAAUUUUUGUAAACAUAUACGUAUAUAUUCUGUUAUAUUAUAAUAAUUUAAUUUCAGUUCACAGUGUGAGAGCUGAAGUUGAGGAUAAACUACUUCAAUAAAGCUUAUAUAAACAUAACACUCGUGUAUUAAUGUGGUGCGCUGGUUAUAAGGGAAUACUCGCCCUGGAUAUGAGUGAGCUUUUAUGUUUUUAAAGUCUCAAAAACAACGUUACGAGUACAGUG